rnacentral:rRNA from 1 species
GACGAACGCUGGCGGCGUGCCUAAUACAUGCAAGUAGAACGCUGAAGAGAGGAGCUUGCUCUUCUUGGAUGAGUUGCGAACGGGUGAGUAACGCGUAGGUAACCUGCCUUGUAGCGGGGGAUAACUAUUGGAAACGAUAGCUAAUACCGCAUAACAAUGGAUGACACAUGUCAUUUAUUUGAAAGGGGCAAUUGCUCCACUACAAGAUGGACCUGCGUUGUAUUAGCUAGUAGGUGAGGUAACGGCUCACCUAGGCGACGAUACAUAGCCGACCUGAGAGGGUGAUCGGCCACACUGGGACUGAGACACGGCCCAGACUCCUACGGGAGGCAGCAGUAGGGAAUCUUCGGCAAUGGGGGCAACCCUGACCGAGCAACGCCGCGUGAGUGAAGAAGGUUUUCGGAUCGUAAAGCUCUGUUGUAAGUCGAGAACGAGUGUGAGAGUGGAAAGUUCACACUGUGACGGUAGCUUACCAGAAAGGGACGGCUAACUACGUGCCAGCAGCCGCGGUAAUACGUAGGUCCCGAGCGUUGUCCGGAUUUAUUGGGCGUAAAGCGAGCGCAGGCGGUUUGAUAAGUCUGAAGUUAAAGGCUGUGGCUCAACCAUAGUUCGCUUUGGAAACUGUCAAACUUGAGUGCAGAAGGGGAGAGUGGAAUUCCAUGUGUAGCGGUGAAAUGCGUAGAUAUAUGGAGGAACACCGGUGGCGAAAGCGGCUCUCUGGUCUGUAACUGACGCUGAGGCUCGAAAGCGUGGGGAGCGAACAGGAUUAGAUACCCUGGUAGUCCACGCCGUAAACGAUGAGUGCUAGGUGUUGGAUCCUUUCCGGGAUUCAGUGCCGCAGCUAACGCAUUAAGCACUCCGCCUGGGGAGUACGACCGCAAGGUUGAAACUCAAAGGAAUUGACGGGGGCCCGCACAAGCGGUGGAGCAUGUGGUUUAAUUCGAAGCAACGCGAAGAACCUUACCAGGUCUUGACAUCCCGAUGCUAUUUCUAGAGAUAGAAAGUUACUUCGGUACAUCGGUGACAGGUGGUGCAUGGUUGUCGUCAGCUCGUGUCGUGAGAUGUUGGGUUAAGUCCCGCAACGAGCGCAACCCCUAUUGUUAGUUGCCAUCAUUCAGUUGGGCACUCUAGCGAGACUGCCGGUAAUAAACCGGAGGAAGGUGGGGAUGACGUCAAAUCAUCAUGCCCCUUAUGACCUGGGCUACACACGUGCUACAAUGGUUGGUACAACGAGUUGCGAGUCGGUGACGGCAAGCUAAUCUCUUAAAGCCAAUCUCAGUUCGGAUUGUAGGCUGCAACUCGCCUACAUGAAGUCGGAAUCGCUAGUAAUCGCGGAUCAGCACGCCGCGGUGAAUACGUUCCCGGGCCU